CCAAUAAAGAAAUUCACGGGGAUGCAUCCUCGGUAGAAUGAGAAACAACCUUAUGAGAAGAUGCUGCUACCAACAAAUAACACUCGAUGCAAAAUCUUGUUAUAGAACUACAACAACAUCCACAACUAGUACCCAUCAAGCUUCCAAAUUCUCCACUUCUACUGCCCCGCUUCUUCCCCCACAAAACCCGUGCGUCCCAAUCGCUAAACGCCGAACCCAAAGGCAAGAACUCGUAAAACUCCUACAAAACCCCAAUCCAAACAACCCAUUUUCGCACUACAAAACCGUCCAUGGCCGCAUUGUCGUGUUGGGUUUUCAAUCCGAUACGUUUCUCUCAAACAUUCUCAUAAGUUUGUACGCAAAAGCUGGUUGGUUGAUCCAUGCUCGUCAACUGUUUGAUAAAGUGUCUCAAAGGAACGUAGUAACUUGGUCUUCGAUGAUUUCUUUGUACGGCCAACAUGGGUGUAGUGAAGAAGCUUUGAUGGUUUUUUUGGAGUUUAGGAGAAGCUCGAAUGAGAAGCCGAAUGAGUUUACGUUGGCUAGUGUCAUUCGGGCUUGCACGUGGUUGGGUGGUGUAGAAGAAGGCACCCAAUUGCAUGGCUUGGUUGUUAAUAUUGGUUUUGAUCAAGAUGUCUUUGUGGGUACUUCACUAAUGGACUUCUAUUCGAAAAACAACAAGAUAGACCAAGCAAGACUUGUUUUUGACAAAAUUUCCGUGAAAAGUGCAGUUACUUGGACAACGCUUAUGACAGGGUAUGCGAGAAUUGGGAGGAAUGAAGUUUCAUUGCAGUUGUUUAGAGCAAUGAGGGACAUUGGUGUUGUUCCUGACAGAUAUGUACUCUCUAGUGUUUUGAGUUCAUGUUCAAUGCUUGAGUUCCUCCAAGGAGGCAAGCAAAUUCAUGCUUAUGCGUUGAGGAGGGGAAUGGAAGAUGAUGUUUCGGUGUGUAAUGUGCUCAUCGAUUUCUAUGUGAAGUGUGGUAGAGUGAGAACUGGACAAAAACUAUUUGAUCAUAUGGCAGUUAAGAAUGUUAUUUCGUGGACCACAAUGAUUUCUGGGUACAUGCAAAAUUCCUUUGAUUGGGAGGCUAUGAAGCUGUUUAUGGAUAUGAACAGAUUGGGUUGGAAGCCAGAUGGGUUUGCAUGCACUAGCAUCCUCACUUCGUGUGCUUCACUUGAGGCUCUUGAACAAGGUAAACAAGUGCAUGCCUAUGCUAUCAAGGCAAAUCUUGAAUCCGAUGAGUUUGUUCAAAAUGGCUUGAUUGAUAUGUACUCGAAAUGUAAUUCUUUGACUGAUGCAAGAAGAAGUUUUGAUGGUAUUGCCUAUCUUAGUGUUAUACCUUACAAUGCAAUGAUUGAAGGGUACUCAAGACAAGAAAAGUUGUAUGAAGGAUUGGAUCUUUUCCAUGAGAUGAGGAUUGGAUCAUUCUCACCAAGCCUUUUAACAUUUGUAAGCAUUCUUGGUAUGUCAGCCUCACUAUUUAUGGUGGAACUCAGCCAGCAAAUCCACUGUAUCAUAACAAAAUUAGGAAUCUCUGUGGACAUAUUUGCUGGUAGUGCUCUUAUAGACGUUUAUUCCAAGUGUAGUUUCAUUAAAGACGCAAGACUGGUGUUUGAAGAGAUGAAUGAUAAAGAUAUUGUAGUAUGGAAUGCUAUGCUUUCCGGCUAUGCUCAACAGUUGGAAAAUGAGGAAGCACUCAAACUCUACUUAAAAUUGCAGCAUUCAGGUAAAAAAUCUAAUGAAUUUACUUUUGUUGCCCUAAUCACGGCAGCAAGUAACUUCGCAAGUCUCCCACAAGGUCAACAGUUCCAUAACCAGCUCAUUAAAACAGGUCUAGAUUUUGACCCAUUUGUUACCAAUGCUAUAGUGGACAUGUAUGCCAAAUGCGGAAGCAUUGAAGAAGCUCGCAAAAUGUUUGAUUCUACUACUUCUAGAGAUGUAGUGUGUUGGAAUUCCAUGAUCACCACAUAUGCACAGCACGGACAGGCUGAAGAGGCUCUUCAAAUGUUUGAAGAAAUGAUAAAGGAGGGCAUAGAACCGACUUAUGUCACAUUUGUUGGCAUUCUCUCAGCAUGUGGCCAUGUGGGGCUUGUAAAAGAUGGGCUCCGACACUUUGAAUCGAUGUCUACUUAUGGAAUUGAACCUGGCACAGAACAUUAUGCUUGCGUGGUUUCUCUUUUGGGUCGAGCUGGUAGACUUUCUGAAGCAAAGAUUAUUAUAGAGAGAAUGCCGAUACAGCCAGAAGCAAUAGUUUGGAGGAGCUUGCUCAGUGCAUGCAGGGUUGUGGGUCAUGUUGCACUUGGUACAUAUGCAGCAGAGAUGGCAAUUUCAGUUGAUCCUAAGGAUAGUGGGUCGUAUGUCUUGCUUUCAAAUAUUUUUGCAUCUAAAGGUAUGUGGGUGGAUGUUAAGAAAGUAAGGGAGAGGAUGGACCGCAGUGGGGUGGUGAAAGAAGCAGGAUGUAGUUGGAUUGAAUUGAAUAAUGAGGUGCAUGUGUUUGUCGCUAGAGACAAUGGGCAUCCCGACGCUGAUUUGAUUUGGUUAGUCUUGGAAAACUUAGCUCGGCAUAUCAAAGGGGUCAGUUAUGUUCCCGACAUCACUGCAAUUUUAACGAAUGAUUUUGGAGAAAUACAUGCGUAAUUUCCCAUUGGAACCUAAAUUUGACAGGGAGAGUAGGAAAAUGGCUAAUUCAGCUACUGAAAUUGAACCUCAAACUUUCAGCUUGUGACACUUUAUGCACAAACUGGCUGCCAUCAGGGUGUAUUCUAUAACCUCAAGGUUAAUAGCGGUUUUUGCAGAAACUGGCUACCCUCAAGUUCCAGCCUAUAACCUCAAGAUGGCAAGGACCCAAAAGAACAAAGCUAAUGCCCAACACUUCGGCUUGCUGAAGGUUGCGUCCUAGGAAUUCACUACCCUGACUUGCAUCUCUGGUGUGAUCAUGAAUUGGGGAGCUAAAAUUCAGGUAUUAUCAUACCUUCACGGAUGCCUUAAUUGUGUUUCUCCUAACCGUUUGUUCUGGCAAUGCUCUCUCUGUCGACAUGGGAACUGGGAUGGGGGAGCCUAGGUGCAGCACUACCGAUGCUCCACCGCAACCCGGGCAUGAUGGGUUGGAACUAAAACAAAAUCUCUUAAAUGUGGAAGUAUGGCUGCGUAUAUAUUUCGUAUCACGUGGCGCUGGGAGCCUCAUGGGCUGCCCUUUUUAUGGAGCAAAAAAUUGUAGCAGCCAUAGUCUUCUGACUUUAAUACCAAACAUGCUCUCAAGUUGUGCGUGGGGAAUUACGCGACAGUAUUAUGCAUGCUUAAUAGUUAGUUCCUUUUUUUCAUUGUUCCAUGAUGACUAGUGUUCUUUUUGCAACUACCAUCUUUAAAAAAUCUCUUGUUUUACUACCCAAUACAUAAAUCGAUGAACCCAAGGUGAGGAAUAUAUGUUGUUACAACUUCAGCAUACUGACUUUAAUUGCCACUCAUAAUGUACUUUUAACUGAUUUCCUUCAUUUUAUGCAGUUGUUGGAUCUCCCUGGUAUUAUCGAGGGUGCUAAGGAUGGAAAGGGUAGAGGGAGGCUGGUAAAGCAUGACUAGGUUUGUCAAUGGACCAGAUCCAAUCCAAACCCCUUCUGGAAAUUUCCGAUUCAAAUUUGGUAUCGCCAAUCCGAAUACUAAUUGAAUCAAAAUUGGAUACAUCGGAUCCAAUCCGGUUAUAAUCUGACCCAAACUUUUAUUUUUUAAGAAACCAAAACAUAUAGACCAACAAUGCACACACGCAGUGUGUGCGGGUACCCAUGUUUGAUGUGAAAGACUUUGUGUGAUUGUGUCUGUAAGUGUGUGUGAUUAGAGAAUUAUUGCCGGUAGAAUUUGAAUUGUUCAACCGAACUGGAAAAUUG